GGAUCUCUUAAAGCUGUUCUCAGUUCGGACCGCAGUCUGCAACUCGACUGCACGAAGCUGGAAUCGCUAGUAAUCGCGGAUCAGCACGCCGCGGUGAAUACGUUCCCGGGCCUUGUACACACCGCCCGUCACACCAUGGAAGUCUGCAAUGCCCGAAGCCGGUGGCCUAACCACUUAUGUGGAAGGAGCCGUCUAAGGCAGGGCAGAUGACUGGGGUGAAGUCGUAACAAGGUAAC
rnacentral:rRNA from 1 species